rnacentral:rRNA from 1 species
CCUACGGGGGGCAGCAGUGAGGAAUAUUGGUCAAUGGGCGCGAGCCUGAACCAGCCAAGUAGCGUGAAGGAUGACUGCCCUACGGGUUGUAAACUUCUUUUAUAAAGGAAUAAAGUGAGGCACGUGUGCCUUUUUGUAUGUAUUUUAUGAAUAAGGAUCGGCUAACUCCGUGCCAGCAGCCGCGGUAAUACGGAGGAUCCGAGCGUUAUCCGGAUUUAUUGGGUUUAAAGGGAGCGUAGAUGGGUUGUUAAGUCAGUUGUGAAAGUUUGCGGCUCAACCGUAAAAUUGCAAUUGAUACUGGCAGCCUUGAGUACAGUAGAGGUAGGCGGAAUUCGCGGUGUAGCGGUGAAAUGCUUAGAUAUCGCGAAGAACUCCGAUUGCGAAGGCAGCAUACU